rnacentral:lncRNA from 1 species
ACCCUAAAUUCACCGCUAUAACGCCGCCAUAUCACAAUCGUUCCUCCGCUGCCCGGCACCGGCCGGAAAUCGUCGCUGCUAGCGGCGUAGCUCUGAUGGACCCCAAAAUAAUACCACAUCCUCUCCUCGCUCCCUACUUUCCAACCCCACCAUUGGUCACCCUCGAAUAUAUCCCCGUCUUGUCGUAUAUUCAUUUGUAGUUAGGCAGCCUCGCCCUCCAUGGUGGCGAACGGUCGCCAAAUACCCCAAGAUUUACAACCCAAAUUCCUCACUCCGCCCUCAUCAUAGAUCUAAAACAACCAUCCUUUGAAUCAUGCCACAGCUCCUCAAAUUUUACUUUGAACAAUCCAGCCAAAAUACGACCCUUCCCAAAAUCCACAAAAUUAACACCAUGCGCUCUCCUGACAUCCCUCAUCUUGAAUCUACAACCCUCAGUCCUCGAAUCCUUCCCGUUUAGGUCAAAUUUCAAAUAAAAAAUUUGACCAAGAACCCUAGUUGUUCAAGCUUUGGGAUAUCCUUGAUUUUGGGCCUUAAUAGCCCUUAGUCUUGUGGAAAACACAUGAUUAAGGGCGGUUUGACCCCAAAAAUGCCGAGAAAUUCGCCGUUAUUUGAGCCUGAAUCAGAGUUCGGUGUAUUCUGCUUUUACUUUUUAUUUGCUUUUAAAUAUUAUUCAUCUCUUCGUUUCGUUGUUUUUUUCCAUUGUGAUCUUUGUGAUUACUUUUGGGUCUUGUUUCAAGUUUCUAAAUUUUUUUAGAUUUAUUAGUAAUUUGAAUUUUCCAAUUUGAUUCCAUGUUCAUCUUUUGCCUUGCAAUUUUUAGUUUUGUUCUUUUAUUCUACGUAAUUAGCUUCAGUUUUCUUAAUUGAUUAGUUAUAUUUUAGUUCUAUGAUACAUUAAAGACUCUAUAGAGUUUAUUUUUAAUUUGUGUAGCUAGAUUAAUUAGUUUUAAUUUUGGCAAUAAUUGGAAAGUUUCUAGCUCAUAACUAGUUAACCAUAGUUAGUUUGACUAGGGUAAAAGGAAGCUGAAAAUAUAAUUAGGUCGGUUAAGUAAUUCUGGGAAAGGGUAAGGGGUAGUAUGAGUAAUUCAGCAUGAAAGAACUUGUAGUAACUAGAAUGGAAACUCCUGGAAGCUUCUAGAAUAGGGGUCAAAUUGAAAUUCAGACCUUUUGUUUGUUAUUACUUGGAUAGCAAGCUAAGUAUCUGAGGACUAGUGGUAAAAAACUGAAAUACAAAAGGGACCAAGUUGAAAUAAAGGACUUAAAGGUUGCCCUAAUGGUUGGCCUAUAUAGAGGCAUUAGUCUUGCCUUUAAAGGCAAGAAAAAGAUAGGCUAAAAAUACAGAAAACACUUAAAAAGAAAAAUAUACUGCUACAUGGAGUUUCCUCAUAGUAAGCUGGAAGAAAUUUGAUGUUAAAACCCUGAGAAUACAAAGAGAUUGGAACCUAAAAAUGUAGAAAGGGAUUUUAGAGGCUUGAGAAUACAGGAUCAAAUGGCUACAUUACUGGGUUUCAUGUACAUUCUGAAAAAAAUCGUAAACACAAAUUGACAUUGUUCCAUUAGGUGUCUUGGAAUUUCUGAAUUUGCAAAUUACUGAAGCACAGUUGGGUUCUUCGAAUGCUUGAGUGUGGUUAAAACUUGAUUUUUCAAAAGCAUGGUUUGAAAUUGUAGCAUUCUCCAUUCAACUAGAAUUUUGUCCCAUUGGUUUCAUAGUAAUUUUCCUUUGGCUUGAGUUUGGUAUACUGCUUGUUUUGGCUGUUGUGUCUCAUUGCUGAUCUCCCUGCCUCUCACUUUUAAUUUUCAGGUACAAUCCAACUUUAUGAGUAUAAUCGAGGUGUAGCAUGAAGCAG